UCUUGGGACAAUCCGAUCCAAUUCAGAGAGCCCACCUUUGAUGGGCUGUGGGUGGGGGGUUCCUUGGCAGACAGGCUCCCAGUGAGGGCAGGAAAGCAUGGACUCCCUAGAAGCAUCCACGAUGGGGAAAAGGAUGAGGCUCCCUGGCCCCAGGCCCUGAAGGUUGAGCAACCAUCAAGAUGCCCGGUCUGCUGAACCAGGUCACAGGGGCGGCCCUGCCCCUCACCGCGUCCGAUGUCACCUCCUUCGUCAGUGGUUACGCCUUGGGUCUCACUGCCUCCCUCACCUAUGGCAACCUGGAAGCCCAGCCCUUCCAGGGCCUCUUUGUAUACCCCCUGGAUGAGUACACCACGGUGAUCGGCUUCGAGGCCGUCAUUGCCGACCGUGUCGUGACAGUUCAGAUCAAGGACAAAGCCAAGAUGGAGAGUGGCCGCUUCGAUGCCGCUGGCCUCCGAGCAUCAACGGUCACAGGAAAGGUGGCUCUGGACGAGGAUUUGGAGCGGAUCCUGUUCGUGGUCAACCUGGGGACCAUCGCCCCUCUGGAGAACGUCACCAUCUUCCUGAGCACGUCCUCGGAGCUCCAGACGCUGCCCAGCGGGGCCGUGAGGGUCCUGCUGCCUGCCGUCUGUGCCCCGACUGUGCCCCAGUUCUGCACCAGUCCCUCCAGCCAACCAACCCAAGGCAAAGACAGGCAUUGCUUUGGCUCCCGGGCCCUGGACUCCUGGAACAAAUUGUGCCUGUCGACCUUCCUGGACACCGACGUGUCCAAUCCCAUGGAAUACGAGUUCAACUUCCAGCUGGAGAUCCGAGGGCCAUGCCUGCUGGCAGGGGUGGAGAGCCCCACCCACGAGAUACGAGCCGACGCCGCCCCGUCCGCCCGCUCUGCCAAGAGUGUCCUCAUCACCUUGGCCAACAGGCACACCUUCGACCGCCCAGUGGAGAUCCUCAUCCACCCCAGCGAGCCCCACAUGCCACAUGUCUUGAUGGAGAAAGGGGACAUGACCCUGGGAGAGUUUGACCAGCAUUUGAAGGGAAGAACAGAUUUCAUUAAAGGAAUGAAGAAGAACAGCAGUGCAGAGAGAAAGACAGAAAUAAUCCGGAAACGCCUCCACAAGGACAUUCCCCACCAUUCUGUCAUCAUGCUCAACUUCUGUCCUGACCUCCAGUCAGUCCAGCCCAACCUGAGAAAGACCCAUGGAGAGUUUAUCUUCCUCAUCGACAGGAGUGGAAGCAUGAGUGGGACCAGCAUCCACAGGGUCAAGGAUGCCAUGCUGGUGGCUCUUAAGAGCCUCAUGCCAGCCUGCCUCUUCAAUGUCAUUUGGUUUGGAUCCACAUUUAAGACCCUCUUCCCUUCCAGUCAGACCUACAGUGAGGAGAGCUUGGCCAUGGCCUGUGAUAACAUCCAGAAGAUGCGAGCCGACAUGGGUGGCACCAACAUCCUCUCCCCACUCAAGUGGAUCAUCCGGCAGCCAGUGCUCCAAGGCCACCCCAGGCUUCUCUUCCUGAUCACAGAUGGUGCCGUCCACAACACCGGGAAAGUGCUGGAGCUGGUGCGAAACCACGCCUUCUCCACCAGGUGCUAUAGCUUUGGAAUUGGCCCCAACGUCUGCCACAGACUGGUGAAAGGGCUGGCAACCGUGUCCAAGGGCAGUGCUGAGUUCCUGGUGGAGGGGGAGCGGCUGCAACCCAAGAUGGUCAAAUCCCUGAAGAAGGCCAUGGCUCCAGUCCUGAGUGAUGUGACUGUGGAGUGGGUCUUCCCUGAAACCACUGAGGUCCUGAUCUCACCUGUCAGCUCCAGCUCCCUCUUCCCUGGAGAACGGUUGGUGGGGUAUGGCAUUGUCUGUGAUGCUUCCUUAUACAUCUCCAAUCCCAGAACCGACAAGAGAAGACGAUACAGCAUGCUACACUCUCAGGAGUCUGGCAGCUCUGUCUUCUACCACUCACAAGAUGAGGGGCCCAGCCCAGACAGUGGAGAUUGUGCCAAGAGCUUGGGGGCACCCUUCAGCCUGAGGCAAGCCAAAGACACCCAGCCAUCCAGUGGAGACCCCACCAUCAAUCCUGGUCUAGUCCUCUCCCAGCGACGGCGGGCGUACAGCACCAACCAGAUCACCAACCACAAGCCCUCCCCAAGGGCCCCCACGGCCAGUGACCCCACAACGGCUGCCAGGAGAUACCCACUGCGAAAAGCCAAGCUCCAAGACCUCACCAACAAGACCAGCCUGGAUGCUCCGCGGUGGCAAAUUGAUUUGCAGCCCUUGCUGAACAGUGGGGCGGACCUGAGCCAGGGCCCCAAACUCCGGGGUCCAGGGGCCCGCAGGCCCUCUCUGCUGCCCCAAGGCUGCCAGCCUUUCCUAGCCUCUGGCCAAGAGACCCAGAUCUGGAGCCCCCUGAAAGAGCUGGAUCUGGGGUCCAGCCUCAAGCCUGCCUCAGACAGCCGCAGCCCUGGGGACCCGGAGCCGUCCCAUCACCUCUCCUCCUCGAGACGGAGACAUCCUCGGACUGGGAGCCCCUGGCCGAGUCUGAAGAGCAGGCCAGUCCCAGCAGGCCUGCCACCCCAGGCCCUGUGA
rnacentral:lncRNA from 9 species